ACGGAGGGUGCAAGCGUUAAUCGGAAUUACUGGGCGUAAAGCGCACGCAGGCGGUCUGUCAAGUCGGAUGUGAAAUCCCCGGGCUCAACCUGGGAACUGCAUUCGAAACUGGCAGGCUAGAGUCUUGUAGAGGGGGGUAGAAUUCCAGGUGUAGCGGUGAAAUGCGUAGAGAUCUGGAGGAAUACCGGUGGCGAAGGCGGCCCCCUGGACGAAGACUGACGCUCAGGUGCGAAAGCGUGGGGAGCAAACAGGAUUAGAUACCCUGGUAGUCCACGCCGUAAACGAUGUCGACUUGGAGGUUGUGCCCUUGAGGCGUGGCUUCCGGAGCUAACGCGUUAAGUCGACCGCCUGGGGAGUACGGCCGCAAGGUUAAAACUCAAAUGAAUUGACGGGGGCCCGCACAAGCGGUGGAGCAUGUGGUUUAAUUCGAUGCAACGCGAAGAACCUUACCUACUCUUGACAUCCA
rnacentral:rRNA from 1 species